rnacentral:rRNA from 1 species
UACGAAGGGGGCUAGCGUUGUUCGGAAUUACUGGGCGUAAAGCGCACGUAGGCGGGUUUGUAAGUAGGGGGUGAAAUCCCCGGGCUCAACCCGGGAACUGCCUUCUAGACUGCAAGCCUGGAGGUCAGGAGAGGCGAGUGGAAUUCCGAGUGUAGAGGUGAAAUUCGUAGAUAUUCGGAGGAACACCAGUGGCGAAGGCGACUCGCUGGACUGAUACUGACGCUGAGGUGCGAAAGCGUGGGGAGCAAACAGG